UGCGCAGGCGGUUAUAUAAGUCAGAUGUGAAAUCCCCGGGCUCAACCUGGGAACUGCAUUUGAGACUGUAUGGCUAGAGUGUGUCAGAGGGGGGUAGAAUUCCACGUGUAGCAGUGAAAUGUGUAGAUAUGUGGAGGAAUACCGAUGGCGAAGGCAGCCCCCUGGGAUAACACUGACGCUCAUGCACGAAAGCGUGGGGAGCAAACAGGAUUAGAUACCCUGGUAGUCCACGCCCUAAACGAUGUCUACUAGUUGUCGGGACUUAAUUGUCUUGGUAACGCAGCUAACGCGUGAAGUAGACCGCCUGGGGAGUACGGUCGCAAGAUUAAA
rnacentral:rRNA from 1 species